AGCUCUGGCAGUUGACAGGGGCUGUACAUCACUUACUUUGAAAACUCUUCGUUUACCGGGGGGGUGUCGUGUUGUUUCAUUGUGUGACACUCCCAAUUAUCGUGACAGAGCUAAAUGACAAAGUACUGUCACCCCACAGAAAAUUCAGAGCAGCUUCUUUCCAUUUUUCUGCCUGGUCACGGGAACAUCGCUGAACUGGUACAAAGCAGCGGCAGGAGCAGCAAACAGGGGGACUGUCUGCACACUGCUCUAGUGUAUUAAAAAUUCAGCUCCUCGGCAAUAUGAAAUUUGAAUUUACUUCCAUCAAACAGAAACUUAGCAUAUCUCAUUCUUCCGUUAUAAAAUAUUGACAUCAGAAAUAGUGAAUCCUGAAAUGAAGAUUACAGAUGAAAACUAUGUGCUUGGACUCAGCUCCAGCCUUCCUGGCCCAUUAUGCAGCAUCCUCUGUGUAUGAGAAGUACAACUGUGAAACAAACGAACAAAAUUGCCAGAAAAAAGAAGAUGGCCUGAUCUACCCCAGCACAACGAACGCACAUGAAAAUCAAGCUCAGGAUACCUGCACCUUGUAAAAUUUCUUUCUCAGCUCUUCUGAAGAAGAAAUUCCUUUAGAGUCUUCCUCGGCUAGUCUGAAAUAUGCUUCUCUGCAUCAGGUUGUGAAUAGUAUUCUUACGAGAUUGUCUAGUAAAGAAAGGCUGUUUGGCUGGGCCUGCUGGGCAUCAGUUAAAAUAUUGAUUGUCCCACACCUUUUCACAAGCUUUUACUGGGCUCCUUCAGUGUCUCAUUUGGGUUUGGUGCUGUAUGUUCAGGAAGUGGCUGGUGACAACAAUAAAACCUGAUGUAUGACUGUGA